UGCAAGUCGAACGGUAACAGGAAGAAGCUUGCUUCUUUGCUGACGAGUGGCGGACGGGUGAGUAAUGUCUGGGAAACUGCCUGAUGGAGGGGGAUAACUACUGGAAACGGUAGCUAAUACCGCAUAACGUCGCAAGACCAAAGAGGGGGACCUUCGGGCCUCUUGCCAUCGGAUGUGCCCAGAUGGGAUUAGCUAGUAGGUGGGGUAACGGCUCACCUAGGCGACGAUCCCUAGCUGGUCUGAGAGGAUGACCAGCCACACUGGAACUGAGACACGGUCCAGACUCCUACGGGAGGCAGCAGUGGGGAAUAUUGCACAAUGGGCGCAAGCCUGAUGCAGCCAUGCCGCGUGUAUGAAGAAGGCCUUCGGGUUGUAAAGUACUUUCAGCGGGGAGGAAGGGAGUAAAGUUAAUACCUUUGCUCAUUGACGUUACCCGCAGAAGAAGCACCGGCUAACUCCGUGCCAGCAGCCGCGGUAAUACGGAGGGUGCAAGCGUUAAUCGGAAUUACUGGGCGUAAAGCGCACGCAGGCGGUUUGUUAAGUCAGAUGUGAAAUCCCCGGGCUCAACCUGGGAACUGCAUCUGAUACUGGCAAGCUUGAGUCUCGUAGAGGGGGGUAGAAUUCCAGGUGUAGCGGUGAAAUGCGUAGAGAUCUGGAGGAAUACCGGUGGCGAAGGCGGCCCCCUGGACGAAGACUGACGCUCAGGUGCGAAAGCGUGGGGAGCAAACAGGAUUAGAUACCCUGGUAGUCCACGCCGUAAACGAUGUCGACUUGGAGGUUGUGCCCUUGAGGCGUGGCUUCCGGAGCUAACGCGUUAAGUCGACCGCCUGGGGAGUACGGCCGCAAGGUUAAAACUCAAAUGAAUUGACGGGGGCCCGCACAAGCGGUGGAGCAUGUGGUUUAAUUCGAUGCAACGCGAAGAACCUUACCUGGUCUUGACAUCCACGGAAGUUUUCAGAGAUGAGAAUGUGCCUUCGGGAACCGUGAGACAGGUGCUGCAUGGCUGUCGUCAGCUCGUGUUGUGAAAUGUUGGGUUAAGUCCCGCAACGAGCGCAACCCUUAUCCUUUGUUGCCAGCGGUCCGGCCGGGAACUCAAAGGAGACUGCCAGUGAUAAACUGGAAGAAAGGUGGGGGAUGACGUCAAGUCAUCAUGGCCCUUACGACCAGGGCUAC
rnacentral:rRNA from 1 species